GAGAAGGGGCCGAAGCCAGCAGCGACGAGACGUAGCGGUCCACCUCCGCCCUGCUGCGCCUCAUCAUGGCGGCGACCGAGGAAGGCCGAGCCUGGCCCGCAGCGUCGUCACGGAGAAAAGCUCCAGCCGAGCCUUCGCCGGCCCUCGAGAAACACCGUUUGGAGGCCAAAUAACGCCACUCCACGCGACAGAUGGCGCGGCUAAAAGGUUGCUGUUGCGUCAGCGCCGACGCGCCGGAAGCGUACGGAAGUGAGGUUGGGCAAAGAAGAAAUAGAGGAGAGAAGAGUAAAGAGUAAAGAUACAGGCACAGUAGAAAAGAGAAGUCAGCAGAAUACAGAAAUGGUGAUAAUGGGCAAUGUGGUACUGACUGAUGGCAAUCCAAUCAGGGCAGCUGGAUAACGUUUGGAUUCUGUGCAUAAAAAGGUUUUGUAGAGGCUAGACAGACUGUCAUUCCAGUCCCACACCUCAACACCAUAAAAGACUUGAGGAACAUCCUUACUUGUGAACAGCUUAAAGGGUGGAGCUAUUAAAAAACCUACCCUGACAAAAUAAAACCUCAGGAUGGCUCCUAUCAAAGAUCUAAUAGUUGUCAAUUGAGCUGACCAGUUUAGAGGCUCACUGAAGCCUAGAGCUAGGUAUUUAAAAGUACUAGUUUGCUCUAGUACUAUGGAUACUCUAAUACCAUGUAUGCUCCAUUGAAACUUUAGAUGUUUUUCUAAAAACAACCACUUUGGUCUUAACAUAAUUAAUGGUAAGAAACUUCUUUGCAGUAAUUGCCUAGUUCAUUAAGCAAUCUCUUUAGGUCAAUGCAUGUUAGAGAAAUCAGAGUCAUAUCUUUCAGAGAUUUUUGAGAUCCCAGUGAGGGAGGAACAUAUGUUGACCCAGACAGCCUCGAUAACAAUAUCAUUUACAUAAAACUUAAAAAGCAUAGCAGACAAAAUGCACCCCGGCUUAACCUCCUGAGAACUGGAAUGUUCUCAGUUAGGGAUUCUGAUGCACUCACCCUUAUUUUGACAAGGAUAGCAGUGUACAGUUCCUCUACAAGGAAAUCAAACGUUUAUCAACAUUCAUUCUACCUUUGCUUCAUCCAGAGAUGGCAUCUAUCAACAGAAUCAAAGGCUGCUAAAUCAAUGGAGGCCACAUACAAACUUUGGUAGGACCCUUUGGUUUACAAUGGAGUCAAUUCCUACUGAAUCCAAUGGGAAUUACUGGAUUCAAAGGAUUGAAAGAUAUGUAUUUUAUUCACUGCUAAACCUUUGAUAUACUUUGCCUACAUUUUAAGCAAUAUUUUGAAAUGCAAACAUUUUUUAAAAUGUU